rnacentral:tRNA from 1 species
GGUAAGGUAUGUUAAAAAAACAUUUACCGUUCAAAGGUAACAAUGACGAAAGCUUGUCUCUUAUCA